UAGGGAAUCUUCGGCAAUGGACGGAAGUCUGACCGAGCAACGCCGCGUGAGUGAAGAAGGUUUUCGGAUCGUAAAGCUCUGUUGUUAGAGAAGAACGUUGGUAGGAGUGGAAAAUCUACCAAGUGUCGGUAACUAACCAGAAAGGGACGGCUAACUACGUGCCAGCAGCCGCGGUAAUACGUAGGUCCCGAGCGUUGUCCGGAUUUAUUGGGCGUAAAGCGAGCGCAGGCGGUUCCUUAAGUCUGAAGUUAAAGGCAGUGGCUUAACCAUUGUACGCUUUGGAAACUGGAGGACUUGAGUGCAGAAGGGGAGAGUGGAAUUCCAUGUGGAGCGGUGAAAUGCGUAGAUAUAUGGAGGAACACCGGUGGCGAAAGCGGCUCUCUGGUCUGUAACUGACGCUGAGGCUCGAAAGCGUGGGGAGCAAACAGG
rnacentral:rRNA from 1 species